rnacentral:lncRNA from 15 species
UUUUCAGUGUAAUUUUGUAAUGUUGCAAUAUGAAUCCUGUUCAUUUAUUUAUUUAUGUUUAUAUUUGAAUAGGUCAAUAUGGUGAAAAUAAAAAAGAUCAGACCUUUCGUCACUGUGAAAAGUUACCCCUCAAAAGGAAAGUCAACGGUGUCGAGGAGGUUUUUGAAAGGGAGGACCCCUUUGCCCCCAAAGCCCACUGAGGUUGGUUGCUGCUCGUUUGCACCACCAGCUACUGGCAGGGACUUACAAGAGGAGCAUGAAGGUGGUACCAGCAGCAGCAGCCAGAAGAAGCUGGAUACCGUGGAGGCCUGGAAGAGGAAGGACACUUCUCGGUGUGAGUGCAGAGCUCUUCUGUCCUCCUGACACUGCAGCGUGUCCGUCAAGUUUCCCUCAACAGUGAGGAUGUUGAAAUCCGGCGAUGCAGUGAAACAUUCUUCUGAGCCGUCUGUGUCCAGACUGUUCAUGAAGCCUCUGCUGUAGUGCAUAUGCUUGGAAGUGUGAGGAAGGUGAAUUCAACAGACUGUUCCUGUAGGCUUUAGGUGGCAUUGGACAAGGAAGGAUGGCCAUCAAUGUGACACGUCAUUUGCACGUCAAAUAAAACUGUUUGAUCAGCAAGGUAAAUAAUACAGUACAUCAGAAACAGUCACAUCCACCCUGCACAAAAAGGAAAGUUGUUAAAAACUACAGCAUUUAACAGCUAUUCUGUCAUGAAUUGUAGGAAGGACUCAUGAUGUUUGGAUGCAGUUCUGCCACAGUGAGAUGGAAGUUGCGACACUUUGGCCAGCCACAGUGAAGCAACCUCAAAGUGCCAUUUCCCUGAAGCUGAUGGACGUGAUCUGCCGCUUACAGCUGGAAUGUGGUGCAUCACUGAAGGGUUUAUGUGCUGCAAUUCAGGGUUCCUCAGGUCCCUCCAAGUGCCAAGACCUUUAUGGAAUACUCAUCAGUGAGUCCUUUGAGGAAUACAGACACUUCAGAUACCACUGCACCAUCUUGGACCUGAUACAACAGAUGGGACACACUGUCCUCUCUGUCCACAGAAUGAUGGAUGUCUGGUUCUUGCUGCGGAUGGACUAUUUGGACUUCCAAGGAAGAAAUCGUCUGGAAGUAGUCUUGAAAGACCGAAGCACUUCAACCGAUUCUUUUGCUCUCAAGAUCUUGUUGAUGCUUUUAUUGGAGAGAACAACAUUCUUCUGAGGAGGGUUGUGUCAGCUUUCAAGCAGGUAGUGCACUCAGGUCAAAGGUGAAGAACUCCAAAUUGGAUGAGACGGGUGUUUUUGGCAUAUCCUAUAAGCAUGAAGAUCCACGUCGCUUUCUUAGUCUGAAGAGAGGUGAAAGGUAAAUCCUAA